UACGUAGGGGGGCAAGCGUUGUCCGGAUUUAUUGGGCGUAAAGAGCGUGUAGGCGGCCAUACAGGUCCGUUGUGAAAACUGGAGGCUCAACCUCCAGACGUCGACGGAAACCGUAUGGCUAGAGUCCGGAAGAGGAGAGUGGAAUUCCUGGUGUAGCGGUGAAAUGCGCAGAUAUCAGGAAGAACACCCGUGGCGAAGGCGGCUCUCUGGGACGGUACUGACGCUGAGGUGCGAAAGCGUGGGGAGGCAAACAGG
rnacentral:rRNA from 1 species